AUUGAACGCUGGCGGCAGGCCUAACACAUGCAAGUCGAACGAGUAGCGGACGGGUGAGUAAUGUCUGGGCACCUGCCUGAUGUAGGGGGAUAACUACUGGAAACGGUAGCUAAUACCGCAUACCAUCGGAUGUGCCCAGAUGGGAUUAGCUAGUAGGGGGGGUAACGGCUCACCUAGGCGACGAUCCCUAGCGGGCCUGAGAGGAUGACCAGCCACACUGGAACUGAGACACGGUCCAGACUCCUACGGGAGGCAGCAGUGGGGAAUAUUGCACAAUGGGCGCAAGCCUGAUGCAGCCAUGCCGCGUGUAUGAAGAAGGCUUUCGGGUUGUAAAGUACUUUCAGCGGGGAGGCGUUACCCGCAGAAGAAGCACCGGCUAACUCCGUGCCAGCCGCCGCGGUAAUAC
rnacentral:rRNA from 1 species